CACGUAGGGUGCAAGCGUUGUCCGGAAUUAUUGGGCGUAAAGAGCUCGUAGGCGGUUCGUCGCGUCGGCUGUGAAAACCCGGAGCUCAACUCCGGGCCUGCAGUCGAUACGGGCGGACUUGAGUGUUGCAGGGGAGACUGGAAUUCCUGGUGUAGCGGUGAAAUGCGCAGAUAUCAGGAGGAACACCGGUGGCGAAGGCGGGUCUCUGGGCAACUACUGACGCUGAGGAGCGAAAGCGUGGGGAGCGAACAGG
rnacentral:rRNA from 1 species